rnacentral:lncRNA from 1 species
GGUACUUCACAUUUAAGAAGUAAUCCAGAAAAUAGCUAUGGUUUUACAACUUUGUUAUUACCUUUACAGGGUGUUUGUUUGUUUUCCUCUACAAAACAAACAAACAAACAAAAUCAACUUAGUUUAUAAAUAAGAGGGGAGGGGUGAGAGAGUUGUGGUGUUUUUCUGCAAACACCAUGGCCAGCAGUGUCAUGUCAAACUCUGUGAGUCUGACCCGGUGGUUUAUUUAAGGUAUAUUUUAUAUAGUACAGUUUGGAAAAUGUUUCCUUGUAUAACUCCAUGUGCCGGUAGGGCAUGGUUACCUUGAAACUCUUUUCAAAGUAUGUGUCACUUCUUCAUGGUAGGUAUAGAAUCCAUCAUGGAGUCUGUAUAGACUACAUGCAUUAUCUUCAGGGUCUUGGAGAAGAUCUCCAGGCUCUGGAUGUGGUCUCAGUCAUACAGAUAGUGCAAAGGUCACUACACUAUUAACCAUCUCCAGUUCUGUUUUUAAGGGAUGGAGACAGGUGUGGCCUGGCCCUACAAAUAGCACAGAGGUCACCGGGCUUUUAACAACAUCCAUUCUCAGCCUUCUGGGCAGAGAAUAGGUUAGACAUCUUUUCCUCUGAAGAGACAGCUCCGCGUGUUUAACAUUCCUGGUUUCCCUGGUGCUUAUAUGUGAGCACCAGGGCUCUGUGCCCUCUACAGUAAACUAAAAAUAGCCAAUAUGUCUUACGUUGUACCUUGAGAUAGUUUGAAUAGGUAUAAGUGUUUGAAUGCUUACCUAUAGGGAGUGGCACUUUUUGGAGGUGUGGCCUAGUUAGAGUUGGUAUGGCCUUGUUGGAUGAAUUGUGUCACUGUGAGGACAGGCUAUGAUGUCUCCUAUGCUCAAGUUACACCCAGUGUGACAUACAGUCUCCUUCUGCUGCCUGUGGAUCAAGAUGUAGAACUUUUGGCGUCUGUCUGCACACUGCCAUGCUUCCGGCCUUGAUCAUAAUGAACUAAACCUCUGAAACUGUAAGCCAGCCCCAAGUAAAUGUUGUCCAAGUAAAAGUUGCCUUGGUCAUAGUGUCUUUCACAGCAAUAAAAACCAAACUAAGACAUGCUUAAAAUGUCAGGUAGGUGGUUAAACUUAGUGGGUUAGAGGAAUAUUUAUACAUUUAUCUGGACCAAGAAUUAUGAACCAAAUUUAUGAUUCAGAGCUUGUAAAAUAACAUAUGAUAGACCUUCGGGUUAUCUUAGGAAUAGUCAAUGCUACAGCAAGUAUUAAAUGUGAGUGUCAGAGCUCUCUUGUACUAAUGACAUCCAGCACCAGCCUUGGUCCUUCCACACUCAUUCUCUGCACAGAUCAGAAGUAACUACAAUUACUGAGGGACUGUGUCAGACCCCUAGGUAUUAGGACAGAAGACAACUUAGCCUCAUCCCACAGCCCCAAGAGCAUACACUGGACGGCUGCUUUGAUUUCUAAUGGAAAAGCUUUCCUUUGAUUUGUGGGAUAAGUUGAUGUCUCAUUUCUCUCUUCAGGUAUAUAUAUGUAUUACCUGAAAGCCCAGGGCAGUUGUUGCCUUGGGUCAUGCAGAGAAUAUGCAGCCACACCCAUGCCUUAGAUGUGUGUAAUUCAAGUGGAGAAGACACAAGCCAGUGGUCGCAAUAUCAACACUUGAGUGUUCUGUAAACGGUGAGUGUGAGAGGUGGGAGUCAGCCAGUGCGUCUCAGAGGUGAUUUAGAGCCAUCAGGAGGACAGGAGGAGCUGCGCUGUAGGUGUUAGGGAUCUCCUAGUUGAUGGCUUAUACAGUGUACAUGGUAAUAAGACAGUACGGAGUCUUACACUUUUCCCAGUGUGCCGGCCUUGUUUUCACUUCCUGUUUCGCUCUUGCUGCUUCUCUCCCCUUAGAUUAAUGUUUGCCAUGUGCAAGGAAAUGGCAGAGGCAAAAUGCUGGCGGCUUAUGGAAAAAUAAUUUAUAAAAAAAUGAUGGGUUAGUUCUGCCAAAUUUGAGUAAGUGAGAACACGAGAAACCAUAUUCUGUUAGAGCUUGAGAAAAGGAAGGAAAGUCAAACGGUGAGUCUAACCUCAUUUAUUCCAGGAUUGGUGUCAGCAGAAAACCAACAGUGAUGUGGUGGCACACAGUGAACUGACAGGACCCAGGCAGCAGCGGUUCUUUUGGUGGCAAUGGUGCCAUGUCAUGGGUACUCUCCUUGCUGAUGGCAGAUACCGACAGGCAAACUGUUGCCUUGCGUUUAGCUCUGUUAACCAUUGACAGUAAGAUUUAUCAGAGGUUGCAGCUGCACAUGGCCAUGAGGUAAACCUUGCCCCUGUUUGAAAUUGAGUUUCAUCAGCUUCUACAUGGGAUUAUAAGGACUUGGAAUAUAUCACAGACCCAGCAGGGUUUCCCCCCUCAUUUUUUUUUUUUAAGAUUUAUUUUUCUUCCUAAAGAUAACAUGCUUAAACAAAGUUCUUUAUGGUUAGUAACUGUGAUGCUUGAAGUUGGUUAUCCCUUACUCCAGUAAAUUUUAAAUGUCAAAGAUAUCUUGUUAAAUAAAAAAAAAACUAUCAAAAUUUUUUGGGUAUUAUGUUUUAGUCAUGUCCCCAUAUUUGUGUUAUGUGCAAAGCAGUGCAGGAAUCCCAGUAGACAACUCAAACUGCCCAUGCCUGUGAUCCACGUUUCCCAUUUGGUGGUUUCUAUUUCAGUAGUAG